rnacentral:rRNA from 1 species
CCUACGAGUGGCAGCAGUGGGGAAUAUUGCACAAUGGGGGAAACCCUGAUGCAGCGACGCCGCGUGAGGGAAGAAGGAAUUCGUGAUGUAAAGCUCUAUCAGCAGGGAAGAAAAUGACGGUACCUGAGUAAGAAGCCCCGGCUAACUACGUGCAAGCAGCCGCGGUAAUACGUAGGGGGCAAGCGUUAUCCGGAUUUACUGGGUGUAAAGGGAGCGUAGACGGCAGUGCAAGUAUGGAGUGAAAGGCGGGGGCUCAACCCCGGGACUGCUCUGGAAACUGUACGGCUGGAGUGCAGGAUAGGUAAGUGGAAUUCCUGGUGUAGCGGUGAAAUGCGUAGAUAUUAGGAGGAACACCAGUGGCGAAGGCGGGUUUCUGGACUGUAACUGACGUUGAGGCUCGAAAGCGUGGGUAGCAAACAGGAUUAGAUACCCUGGUAGUC